UACCCCGUGAAUAAGGUAAUCUUCCUAAAGUUCUAUUUGCUGAAAGGGAAAGGGGAUCAAGAGACACUAAGGAACAACUAAUUGACAUUAGGAGAAAUGGAAAUCUACUAGCUGAAUUUCAACAAAAAUUUUGCAUAAUUGGUUCAUGGAAUUGAGUAUCAGCAACAUGAUUUAAGACCAAAAAGCAUUUCUUAGAUCUGAAAAAUCUAGCUGAGGACUAAGGUAAAAAAUGAGUCCAGAAGAAAGGACAGAUCUCUUCAUUAGCCAGAGGCCAGGAAGCUGAAGUAGUGAAGAACAUCUACCUGGUUUCAUUGAUAUUACUCAAUUCCUGCACGUGUUUUACACUAUAUUGGAUUACUUGCUGCCUAGGGGAGGGAGGUGAGAAGAAGGGAGGAAGAGGAAUUUGGAACACAGA